CAGUCGCCGCGGUAAUACGUAGGUGGCUAGCGUUGUCCGGAAUUAUUGGGCGUAAAGCGCGCGCAGGCGGAUCGGUCAGUCUGUCUUAAAAGUUCGGGGCUUAACCCCGUGAUGGGAUGGAAACUGCCAAUCUAGAGUAUCGGAGAGGAAAGUGGAAUUCCUAGUGUAGCGGUGAAAUGCGUAGAUAUUAGGAAGAACACCAGUGGCGAAGGCGACUUUCUGGACGAAAACUGACGCUGAGGCGCGAAAGCCAGGGGAGCGAACGGGAUUAGAUACCCGUGUAGUCCCUGUCUCUUAUACA
rnacentral:rRNA from 1 species